rnacentral:sRNA from 1 species
UCGAUGUGAUGCGCAUCGGCAUAUCGUAC